rnacentral:lncRNA from 1 species
GGAGAUAUAUCUUUAGGCCUCUUGAUGAAAUAUGACUAUAAAUAUGCAUGGCCAUGCCGAACUAAGUCAAUAUAAGAUAUUGGACUUAUUCGUUAAAUAGUAUAUUUCGGAAUCAAGAUAAAUGAACAUUGAUCUAUACAAGGGUGACACUAUCUAUGCCUUGGGAUCAAUGAAGAUAUUGAGACAAAGGGGUAAUUAUACACAUAUGUAUUAUCAUGAAAGGUUUCGUCAGAUCACUUGA